rnacentral:rRNA from 1 species
CAGCCGCCGCGGUAAUACGGAGGGGGCUAGCGUUGUUCGGAAUUACUGGGCGUAAAGCGUGCGUAGGCGGUUUGUUAAGUCUGUUGUGAAAUCCCCGGGCUCAACCUGGGAAUGGCAAUGGAUACUGGCAAGCUAGAGUGUGUCAGAGGAUGGUGGAAUUCCCGGUGUAGCGGUGAAAUGCGUAGAGAUCGGGAGGAACAUCAGUGGCGAAGGCGGCCAUCUGGGACAACACUGACGCUGAGGCACGAAAGCGUGGGGAGCAAACAGGAUUAGAUACCCGCGUAGUCCCUGUCUCUUAUAA